GGGGCUGUGGCUCAGUGGCAGAACUUCUGCUUUACAUGCAGAAGGUCCCAGGUUCAAUCCCCGGCAUCUCCA